rnacentral:sRNA from 1 species
GCUUAGUUUGCGUUAGGGAUUGCAGUGAAAAUCCUUUUUAAAGCCACUCGUAAUAGCCUUUUAAAAAAGGUAUAAUUAGCUAAAACACAACAAACUUGAAUAUAGCAAUGGGCUUUAAAAAGAUUGUAACGUAAAGCCCGACCGCAU